ACUUUCUUUUCAUAGUUGUCAUAACUCCAGUGUUUUGGCUGCUCAAUACUGAUGCUCUUGAUGCACACUUAAUGUAGGAGACCUGAAGUGUGGACAUGGAUCCUGGCCAUUUAAGUCCACAAGAACAGGAUACCAUUAGUGCCAUUGUCAAGGCUAGGUAGUUACUGGAAGCCAUGCUAUGGGAUUUUUGCAGUUUGGAUCUUCUGAACAUUUCUGAUUUUUGCAACAAGGAGAUCAUUGACAUUAACCAAGUAAAAUCUUACGAUUUAGGGGCAUCCCGCAAAAGUGCCGGUAAACAUGUAUAUAUUUACAUAUGUACUAUGUCCUAGAUUAUAUAUAGUUUUGUUGGUAUAUAAUGAUUGAUAUUGAUUUAUUAUUUGCAGAAACACUCGACGAAUAAGGCGGAAGCACAAGCUAAAGGCAGAAGCACAACCUUGGUUGAUAUUUUCAUACAUACUAAUAAAUUGCAAUAUUAGAUAUAAAGAUCUGGCGUACCCAAUUGGUAACUGUGUUGUGUUGUAGUGGGAAAAAAAGAAGGAUAAAUGCAUCUGUUUCCAGGAAAGAAGAUAUGGAAAAACCCUCUCAUGUGUCUUGGUACAAGUUCAUACCGUUCAACAGUGAGAUUUAGGUGUGAUUAAUUGAUUAAUGAGAAUUUCGAAUUCAAAACUGAAGUAGACGUUAUUUUACAAAUUCUUAAAAACCCAAUUUCCUAAAAAGGUAUGGUAGCUUGUUUCUUUAUCCCGUUUAGAUUGAUAUCAUCAUCAUAGCUCUUCUCCCAACAAUUUCUUUUUGGUUCUCCUAAGGUGUGUUAGAUUUGGAUCUGAUGUCAUUUUAAUAACUGGCCCUUUCUUUACAUAAUGUGAUACCUUGAUGUCUUCCAUCAUUUCUGAUCAGACGCCUAUUUGCUCUCAUAGGGUCAAGAUCUUUACCAAUCAAAGCAAGUGAGAGAGAAGCAAAUUGCUCGCAUACUUGGAAAGGUAUGUUUGACAUGUUCUUCUCAUUGAAAAAUAUUAAAUCUUUAUGAACGUUUGGUGCGUAGGGAUCUUGAUUCUCAUGCAAUGUUGGUGCACUUUCUCUUUGGCAAAUAGCUGAAUAAUUCCAUCAUGAAUAAAGCACAACUGCCAGAAUUUUAUGGUCCGAUUUUAUUUGAUAAUUGCCAAUAUAAUGCUGUAAAAUGUAUUUUAUAUAUGCAGGCACCAACAAUUCAGCAGCAGCAUAUUUGAGGAUGACUGGAAGGCCGCCAGUUCUUCCUUCGAGCAACCUUUCUUAUUCAGAGAACUUUUUGUAUAUGCUGGACUCAUUGUAAGUUUCGCUCGGAUAGCUCUUCCUCUGAUGAUUAUACUGUAAAAUUCCAUGUUUCUUCUACAUUGGUAUUUAGUAGGAAAACCAUAAAGAAGAACAUGUUUACUUGGUGUGCAUCUGUAUGUCAAUAGAUUGAGUUGGGAACUUGGGAGCAUUUCAGUAAUACAUGGUUGUCAGCAACUAAUUGUGGAAGUCCUAACCAGCUCCAAAGUUUGCGACCUUUUGUUGUGUGAUGCUUAUGUUUCUGCAGAACUUCUAUUUUGUUGUUGUU